AGCAGUCGCCGCGGUAAUACGUAGGGUGCAAGCGUUGUCCGGAAUCAUUGGGCGUAAAGCGCGCGUAGGUGGCCAUUUAAGUCCGCUGUGAAAGUCAAAGGCUCAACCUUUGAAAGCCGGUGGAUACUGGAUGGCCAGAGUACGGAAGAGGCGAGUGGAAUUCCUGGUGUAGCGGUGGAAUGCGCAGAUAUCAGGAGGAACACCAAUAACGAAGGCAGCUCGCUGGGACGUUACUGACACUGAGGCGCGAAAGCGUGGGGAGCGAACAGGAUUAGAUACCCCGGUAGUCCCUGUCUCUUAUAC
rnacentral:rRNA from 1 species